rnacentral:rRNA from 1 species
ACGAACGCUGGCGGCGUGCCUAAUACAUGCAAGUAGAACGCACAGUUUAUACCGUAGCUUGCUACACCAUAGACUGUGGGUUGCGAACGGGUGAGUAACGCGUAGGUAACCUGCCUGGUAGCGGGGGAUAACUAUUGGAAACGAUAGCUAAUACCGCAUAAUAUUAAUUAUUGCAUGAUAAUUAAUUGAAAGGUGCAAUUGCACCACUACCAGAUGGACCUGCGUUGUAUUAGCUAGUAGGUGAGGUAACGGCUCACCUAGGCGACGAUACAUAGCCGACCUGAGAGGGUGAUCGGCCACACUGGGACUGAGACACGGCCCAGACUCCUACGGGAGGCAGCAGUAGGGAAUCUUCGGCAAUGGACGAAAGUCUGACCGAGCAACGCCGCGGGAGUGAAGAAGGGUUUCGGAUCGUAAAGCUCUGUUGUAAGAGAAGAACGGGUGUGAGAGUGGAAAGUUCACACUGUGACGGUAUCUUACCAGAAAGGGACGGCUAACUACGUG